AAGUCGUAACAAGGUAUCCGUAGGUGAACCUGCGGAUGGAUCAUUUUUGGGAUUUCUGUUUGUUUGUGCAUUGUGCUGCUGGUUUUUUUGGUUGGGCGAGAUGAAAAUUGUUGGCAGUUGAAACAACUUUUAGCAAUGGAUCUCUUGGCUCUC
rnacentral:misc_RNA from 1 species